UGUCGACAGUAGCAAUAAAAAUAAUAUAUUAAAAGCUACUAUUUUUUAACAAAAGGAAAAAGUGUUUGAAGUGUUCUAACUAUUCUUUAAAAAUAAAGAAAAAUCAAAUUUUGUGUAGUGUCAAUUUAGCGUAAAGGUUGCUUGGCUACGCAGUGCAAGGAUAACAAGUAACGAAAGCGUGUGAAAAAAGUUUUUUUUUGAAUAGUCCACUGGCUGCAACGAAAUGAAGUUGAAAGGCAUUUAGCCAAAAAAGUACUGCAGUGAAAAGAAAACUCAUGAAAAUACAUAUAAACUAGUGCUUUUCCACGUAUCUAGUCAGAGGCUGCAGUUACGCGGCGACAUCCUGCAAGCAGCUGUCGUGCCAGUGUCUACAAAUACGUGAAGAAGUUAGCAUAAAAAAAUAUUUAAG